GAGAAACUUAUGAUUCUAAAAUUCAAACUAUUUAAAAGUAAAAACCUAAGAUGAAACUCCAGUUACUCUUAUGAGUCAUCCGAUCCGGACGAUGGUAAUAUUGAAAUGAAAAAUCAUUCUUUAAUAUAUUUAAUUUUUCUUUUGUUAUGUUUAUGUUAGAUAAAUGUAAAAAUCUAUUAUACUACCUUUACUAUCAAAAUAGCAUAAACCUGAUUAUAGGCUACC
rnacentral:lncRNA from 1 species